AAGGAAUUAGAAAGAAAGCAAUAAGAAAAGCCCACAGUGAGCAGAAGAAAGGAAUUAAUAAGAUCAGAGCAGAGGUAAAUGACAUAGAGA